AUCGAACGCUGGCGGCAGGCCUAACACAUGCAAGUCGAACGAGUGGCGGACGGGUGAGUAAUGUCUGGGAAACUGCCCGAUGGAGGGGGAUAACUACUGGAAACGGUAGCUAAUACCGCAUACUAUCGGAUGUGCCGAGAUGGGAUUCGCUAGUAGGUGGGGUAACGGCUCACCUAGGCGACGAUCCCUAGCUGGUCUGCCAGGAUGACCAGCCACACUGGAACUGUGACACGUGCCAGACGCCUACGGGAGGCAGCAGUGGGUAAUAUUGCGCAAUGGGCGCAAGCCUGAUGCAGCCAUGCCGCGUGUAUGAAGAGGGCCUUCGGGUUGUAAAGUACUUUCAGCGAGGAGGCGUUACUCGCAGAAGAAGCACCGGCUAACUCCGUGCCAGCAGCCGCGGUAAUUC
rnacentral:rRNA from 1 species